CAGUAUUUUCCAGAUUUUUUACAAUAAGCUCACGUGCAUGCACACAUGUUUGCAUACUGCCCAACUGGUGGUUACCACUGGCUUUUACUUCACACAUAGAUGAGUAUUUUUAAAGUAGUAGUUCUUAAACCCUUGCAAGGGAGAUGAAUGACCAGCUGAGGAAAUAAAUUCAGUGAUUUCGUUAUUUUUCUAUAUUCACAUCAUGAUUUUAGGAAAGAACUCAGGAGUGACUUCCUUCAGCUUCAGCUACUCCUGGGCUGCGUGCACGCUAAGCUCUGUGGUAAAGGUCACCAACUUCUGCAGGGCACCUGUGUCAUCUGAAUUGGAGGUUUGUUGAGGGUGAGAGACUGAUGCAGGUUAAAGCUGAUCUUUCCUCUCCUCCGCUUGAAGUCUAUCGUCCCUUCCAGACUGCCUGCGCUGCUGACUUAAGGCCCCAAACACCGAACACAGAAGCAACAGCCUUACACAGAGUGUUCAGCAAGCUCCCUCAAUUGUGUAAGAUACAGAAAAUGAGGCCUAAAGAAGUUAAGAAAAUACCAUAGAAAUGUCACUGCUGAACUGCCAGAUAUCUUUAUGUAAACCAAGGAAUGAGGACUCAAGAUUAUUUUGAUACAGAAUGAAAAUACAUAGGCUUCAUUUAUCUAUU